ACGGGGUGCAGCAGGCGCGAGACCUCCGCAAUGUGAGACAUCACGACGGGGGGACCCCAAGUGCCAUUCUUAACGGGAUGGCUUCUCUUAAGUGUAAAAAGCUUUUGGAAUAAGAGCUGGGCAAGACCGGUGCCAGCCGCCGCGGUAACACCGGCAGCUCUAGUGGUGGCCAUUUUUAUUGGGCCUAAAGCGUUCGUAGCCGGUUUAAUAAGUCUCUGGUGAAAUCCUGUAGCUUAACUGCGGGACUUGCUGGGGAUACUAUUAGACUUGAGGUCGGGAGAGGUUAGAGGUACUCCCAGGGUAGGGGUGAAAUCCUGUAAUCCUGGGAGGACCACCUGUGGCGAAGGCGUCUAACUGGAACGAACCUGACGGUGAGGGACGAAAGCCAGGGGCGCGAACCGGAUUAGAUACCCGGGUAGUCCUGGCCGUAAACGAUGCGGACUUGGUGUUGGGAUGACUUUGGGUUGUUUCAGUGCCGAAGGGAAGCUGUUAAGUCCGCCGCCU
rnacentral:rRNA from 1 species